rnacentral:rRNA from 1 species
CCUACGGGAGGCAGCAGUCGAGAAUCAUUCACAAUGGGGGAAAGCCUGAUGGAGCAACGCCGCGUGCAGGAUGAAGGCCUUCGGGUUGUAAACUGCUUUUAUAAGCGAGAAAUAUGAUGGUAACUUAUGAAUAAGGAUCGGCUAACUACGUGCCAGCAGCCGCGGUCAUACGUAGGAUCCGAGCAUUAUCCGGAGUGACUGGGUGUAAAGAGUUGCGUAGGUGGCAUAAUAAGUAGCUAGUGAAAUCUGGUGGCUCAACCAUUCAGACUAUUAGCUAAACUGUUAAGCUCGAGACCGUUAGGGGUAACUGGAAUUUCUAGUGUAGGAGUGAAAUCCGUAGAUAUUAGAAGGAACACCAAUAGCGUAGGCAGGUUGCUGGGACGGUUCUGACACUAAGGCACGAAAGCGUAGGGAGCAAACGGGAUUAGAUACCCGAGUAGUC